CCUACGGGAGGCAGCAGUGAGGAAUAUUGGUCAAUGGACGAGAGUCUGAACCAGCCAAGUAGCGUGAAGGAUGACUGCCCUAUGGGUUGUAAACUUCUUUUAUAAAGGAAUAAAACGAGGCACGUGUGCCUUUUUGCAUGUACUUUAUGAAUAAGGAUCGGCUAACUCCGUGCCAGCAGCCGCGGUAAUACGGAGGAUCCGAGCUUUAUCCGGAUUUAUUGGGUUUAAAGGGAGCGUAGAUGGGUUGUUAAGUCAGUUGUGAAAGUUUGCGGCUCAACCGUAAAAUUGCAAUUGAUACUGGCAGUCGUGAGUACAGUUGAGGUAAGCGGAAUUCGUGGUGUAGCGGUGAAAUGCUUAGAGAUCACGAAGAACCCCGAUUGCGAAGGCAGCUUACUAAACUGUGACUGACAUUGAUGCUCGAAAGUGUGGGUAUCAAACAGGAUUAGAUACCCCAGUAGUC
rnacentral:rRNA from 1 species